UUUGAUAAACUAAUGAGUUAGGGCUAUAUUACGGCUGUGGUUUUUGGAUUUUCCUGUCAGUU
rnacentral:tRNA from 1 species